GGNACUUAGCUGCCUCCCGCGCAUGUUAGCGCCGCUUGCCGCUCGACUUCCGCCUUCAGCCAGCCGAAUCGUGUGCCGACGUCUCCGCUAGCCGAGCCCUUUUUUCGUUCCCAUUCGCCAGCCGUUGGCCUAAACCCAAGCACCCUCUGACAGUUCUGGCGCAGACAGUUCCGGUUGUCGCCGGAUCGUGGUUGGUUCCGCUCGAACUUCUUGUUUGGAGGUAAGUUUCGGGUUCUUUUGGUAACUCAUCGUCAUUGGUUAUUCUUGGGCCAAAGCUAAUUUACCCAUGGAAUUUUGUGGUUGGAUUCUGGAACUUGUGGUGGUGAAGAAAGUUUCCAAGCGAAGGUCUAUUUUGGGGCAGUUCGGUACCCUUAGGUUGGACUGAUCAUUUGAAGUGUUGGGAGUUCGUUCGAAUGUGUGGGUUUCGUUGCUUUCGUGCUUGCAUUGAAUUUUCUCGUUGUGUCAAACUUAAGUAAGCGAUUUACUAUGAAUUGUGAACGAUUACGUAGUCUUAGCAUGAGUUAUGAUGUUGGAUGAAUGCUUAUAUUGUAUGAGAUUGCAGUUUCCAUUGGGCUAUGCACAUCACAUGUUGUGAGCCUUCGGGUGGUGUCCCGGGAAGACUAACAGAGUAUAUUUAUAUAUUCACCCUUUUUUUCCUCUCAUGUCCAUUUGAAUGAGUCCUUACUUCAACGCCUAGUUUCAUUUUGAUAGUGUCUGGUCUAAGAGUUAGCAUUUUAAAAACCUAUGAUUUCUCCUUAAUUUCAUUUAUUGAUUUAUUUAAUUACUAUUUAUUUUAAAAUUAGGUUAGGGGUACCCAAACAAUGAAUCGUUUGUUGUAAA